GGUUUCCGGCCCUUUACUGGUUAGGACGGUUUGGAAAUGGUUGGUUUGUCUGGGCCUAGCCCAAUGAGGCGGCAUAUGCGGCGGGCCAUGGCUUUUCAUUUGCUUUGGGGAAAAUGGAGGCCACGUUGAUGCCAAAAGGGAUUGGUCCUUGAAACUGAGAAAUGGAAGAGCAGAAAAAACGUCUUGCUGAGGCACAGCUCUGCAAACUUAAUUUGAGAGUAAAUACGACUUGAAGUUGUUUGAAUAUUCUUAUGUACGUGUGUUUUGGGAUGCCAGAUACUGUCUGCUUUUGGACCCCGAAAAAGAUGAAAAAGUGUUAAUUGGAAAUAUUAAGAUUGUGGAUCUUCCAACUUCCACCUUCGAAGAGUUACAGUCUCUGCCUCAACUGGAAGACUUUAGAAUAUCACUGAUAGUAGAAGCAUAUCUAUGCUAGGAGAGAAGUAGAAAACUUGUUCUCUUCCCUAAAGCAGGAGAUUCAGCCCUGGAAGGGAUGCUGGAGAGGUCAGGUGACUGGCAAGUUGGUAUUUUCUGCUAUUGAAGCUGCGUGUGGCCAACAGUCUUACUAUAUGGUAUAUACUUUACAUGCUUAAAAAAUAAAAUUACUUGAAAACAU